rnacentral:rRNA from 1 species
AGGGACUAUUACAGAGUUUACAACUCCCAAACCCAAAUGUGAACAUACCAAUCGUUGCUUCGGCGGACUCGUCCCGGCGUCCGGGUGGCCUUGCGCUGCCCGCGGCCCGGAUCCAGGCGGCCGCCGGAGGCCAUCAAACUCUUUGUAUUACCAGUAUCUUCUGAAUCCGCCGCAAGGCAAAACAAAUGAAUCAAAACUUUCAACAACGGAUCUCUUGGUUCUGGCAUCGAUGAAGAACGCAGCGAAAUGCGAUAAGUAAUGUGAAUUGCAGAAUUCAGUGAAUCAUCGAAUCUUUGAACGCACAUUGCGCCCGCCAGCAUUCUGGCGGGCAUGCCUGUUCGAGCGUCAUUUCAACCCUCGAGCUCCCUUUGGGGAGCCCGGCGUUGGGGACCGGCCUCUACCGCCGCCCCCGAAAUACAGUGGCGGCCCCGUCACGGCGACCUCUGCGUAGUAACUCAACCUCGCACCGGAAACCCGACGUGGCCACGCCGUAAAACACCCCACUUCUGAACGUUGACCUCGGAUCAGGUAGGAAUACCGCUGAACUUAAGCAUAUC